AACGCACAUUGCGCCCGCCAGUAUUCUGGCGGGCAUGCCUGUUCGAGCGUCAUUUCAACCACUCAGGCCCUGGUGCCUGGCGUCGGGGUAUUUCUGGCGACAGAAAUCCCCUAGAGACAGUGGCGGACCCGCCGCGGCUCCGAGCGCAGUAGUAAAAAUCUCGCUAUGGAGGUCCGCGGGGGGGCUUACCGGCCGUAAAACCUCUUCUUAGCCGAAGAAACUCUCAAGGUUGACCUCGGAUCAGGUAGGAAUACCCGCUGAACUUAA
rnacentral:misc_RNA from 1 species